CCUACGGGAGGCAGCAGUGAGGAAUAUUGGUCAAUGGACGAGAGUCUGAACCAGCCAAGUAGCGUGAAGGAUGACUGCCCUAUGGGUUGUAAACUUCUUUUAUAUGGGAAUAAAAUGUUCCACGUGUGGGAUUUUGUAUGUACCAUAUGAAUAAGGAUCGGCUAACUCCGUGCCAGCAGCCGCGGUAAUACGGAGGAGCCGAGCGUUAUCCGGAUUUAUUGGGUUUAAAGGGUGCGUAGGUGGAUUGUUAAGUCAGUUGUGAAAGUUUGCGGCUCAACCGUAAAAUUGCAGUUGAAACUGGCAGUCUUGAGUACAGUAGAGGUGGGCGGAAUUCGUGGUGUAGCGGUGAAAUGCUUAGAUAUCACGAAGAACUCCGAUUGCGAAGGCAGUUCACUGGACUGCAACUGACACUGAGGCUCGAAAGUGUGGGUAUCAAACAGGAUUAGAUACCCUUGUAGUC
rnacentral:rRNA from 1 species